rfam:Picea glauca, whole genome shotgun sequence.
AUGUAAUGUAAUGCCUACAACAUUAAUGCAUCAGAUCCCAUUAGAAAUUCACAUUUAAGCAUACUUGGGCUAGAGUAGUAAUGGGAUGGGUGAGCUAUAGAGAAGUCCUAGUGUUUUAUAUG